rnacentral:rRNA from 1 species
CCCAGUUCGGAUUGUAGUCUGCAACCCGACUACAUGAAGCUGGAAUCGCUAGUAAUCGCAGGUCAGCAUACUGCGGUGAAUACGUUCCCGGGUCUUGUACACACCGCCCGUCACACCAUGGGAGCCGGAAAUGCCCGAAGCCAGUGACCCAACCUUAGGGAGGGAGCUGUCGAAGGUGGAGCCGGUAACUGGGGUGAAGUCGUAACAAGGUAAC